rnacentral:lncRNA from 1 species
UGUAAUUCAAGACUUUUUUUACAAAUAAUCCUCUAUAAUUUUAUAAUUUGCAAAAUAAUUCUAUCAAAUUUAUAUUUGGUAAACUAACCCUCUAUAUACGGUGAUCGUUCACCGCAUUCUGAAAGACUCCAAGAUUAUUUUAAAGACGGUGAAUCGUUCACCGCAUUCGUUAAGACGGUUAAUGAUUCAUCGCGUUCUUUAUAAUUUUCUUUUACACGGUGAGGAUUAUAUAUGAAAAUGAAAAAAAAAAAAAAAGUUGGUUAAAAUUGUACAUAGAUUAUAUGAAAAAUAAAAAAAGUGAGGUUGUUAAGUUUGUAUAUGAAAGUGAGGUUGUUAAGUUUGUAUAUGAAUUAUUAGAAUUUUUAUUUAAUUGUUAGGAUUGUAUGGAUAGAUUAUUAGAAUUUUCAUAU